GUGCGUCUCACGCGACCGCUUCUCUUUCCUCCACUACUGUCCUGAGGUCAGUGAGAACAGCACAAACGCUGAAAACCCGUCCUAAAGGGGUGGUGCUCUGUACACACUCAAGUACAACUUGGGAGGGAAGUCUGGCUAAUUCGCUGAAGCUGUUGACGCUUUUAAACGGACUCCAUCGAGUGAACACAGGUGUCCGCAGGGGUCAAGGGUGACGACCCCUCCUCUGUUUUCAAUCCUGCAAUGUUCCGCUUCAAUGCCCGGACCCUCAAUAGUGAUGUCCUGAGGUACAGGGGCGUCAUCGCGACCUAUGCGUGUCACUCCUAGACAAUAAAGACACUCGUUUUGUAAGUAUGAGAUUUGUGAGUUUAAUUUAAGAAAGACCUACCACUUCAGUGUGAGUAAAUUGUGGAGUAGCAAUAUGUUCAUGAUUCUCUUUUGUCAUACAAAAAACAACCAUUGCAGCAAUGCUUGGCAGCCUUAGACUUCUGUUUCAUGGAGAAAAGCAGGAUGAACAUUCUUCACUAUUCAUUUUCCCCCAUGGAAUAUGAGUUGGAGAGGUAUAAAGGUAGACAGGCGUGUUCCUGCAGGAAUGUCCCAGUAUUUUGCUUUGGAGAAUGGCUUAGGUAUGUCACCCCAGGAUCAAAAUACCAGCUACAUUCCUCUCUAGCACCUCUCCGUCCAAUCAGCUCGUAGGAUUACAGAUGUGGGCGACUGUGGGGCGAUAAGGGCAGGUUUGCUAUUUACACGCUGGAAGAUCUUUGUUCGCUGACCCUGACUAUGGCUUUAAUCAUCAAGACCUCUUGAUCCAGGUAAUGUUCAGGCAUGUUUAGACAGCUAACAAACAAGCCAGAUUGUUCAUAAAGACUGUGGGUUUUUUACACACAGGAAAGAAAUCAAACAGGGGAAGGAAGAGGGGGGUGAGUGUUAAUUUGAAAACAACAUUAAUUUUAUGAGCCACCGAGACAGGAUGAGAGAUAAGACACACACACAGAAGAAUAAUGAGACAUCAGAUCAAUGAUGGAGUGAGCAAGGCCAGAAUUUGACACAAAACGCUUUUUGAGACUUUGUGCUUUUGCGCAAGACACGAUGUGGGAGGACAUUCCUGAAAACUCAGCUGUAGCACACAUGGGACGAUCAAAGAGGCAUUGCACAUUUCAAAGUCUCACCCAGAGCUGCAGGACGGGUGGUGACGGCCACAUACAAGGUUAGCGUUUCGGCAGACGGGUGGGAGAUUUAAAAAGGGAAACGGUCUGUCAGCCUUCCCCUGUUUUCAUUCCUUUCCUCCAUCAGAUAUAACCAGAUCACUGGCAGAAACGCGCUCGCUUUCCAGGUCAUUUCCAAAUGCGUUUGCCGUGGGCUGAUCUUGGUUGUGAUGGCUGGGUUAAUCUUUCUGCCUUCCAUAUACGAGCUGUGACCAGAAUGGCAUUCUAGCUUACUAUUUAUUGUUAUCCGCUAUACAAGUAUUAAAACGUAAUAUUUAUUGUUAACAUCUGUUCCUUUAAUAUAAAUUCACAGUUAUGCCAUU
rnacentral:lncRNA from 1 species